rnacentral:rRNA from 1 species
GACGAACGCUGGCGGCGUGCUUAACACAUGCAAGUCGAACGAUGAAGAAGAGAAACGCGGACUUCGGUUCAAACUUCACUUCGGAGCAGUGGCAGACGGGCGAGUAACGCGUGUGCAACCUACCUCUUACAAAGGGAUAGCCUCGGGAAACCGUGAUUAAUACCAUAUGACACCUUCAUAACGUAUCUUAAGAAUGUUAAAGCUACGGCGGUAAGAGAUGGGCUCGCGUCCCAUUAGCUAGUGGGUGAAGUAACGGCGCACCAAAGCGACGGUGGGGAACCGGGCUGAGAGACUGAACGGUCACAUUGGAACUGAGCCACGGUCCAGACUCCUACAGAAGGAAGGAGAGUGGAAUAUAGCACGAGGGAGGGAGCUCUGAUGCAGCGACGCCGCGUGAGCGAUGAAGGGAUUAGUUACGAACAGCUCUGUUCUAUGGCGAGGAGAGGACUGUACCAUAGGAGAAAGCCCCGGCUAAAUACGUG